GAGGUAGAGCCAGUGAUUAUCCCCGUCACAGAUGAAAAGACUUGCAGAGAGGUCACACGGCAACUAAGGCGCUGAGGAGUAGUAACUGACGGUGUGGGUCCGACACCAGCCCCAUCAAUCACUAUGCUACUUUCCGUACGGCUGUGCUUCAACUGUUCCAUCUGUGAGAUGUGGGUAUCCGUGCCCACCUCAUAAGGGGUGAUAUCUCCUUGAAUUUUGAGUAGCACCAAGCACAGCACCACGCAUCCUGGUUGACCGUUUACACUGAGCAGUACAUUCUAAGAGGUAAAAUAUCUGUGUGACUUCAGAAAAUUAAUUUUAGGUUUGGUUCGCUCAUUCUUUUG